AGAGCGCAAGGGGAAUGCCUUGGCACUGGGAGCCGACGAAGGACGCGACAAACUGCGAUAAGCUAUGGGGAGCCGUAAGUAGGCAUUGAGCCAUAGAUUUCCGAAUGGAGCAAUCCGACCGGAGUCAUGUCCGGUCAUCGUACACUGAAUAAAUAGGUGUACGAAGGGAACCGCCUGAACUGAAACAUCUAAGUAGGGCGAGGAAAAGACAUCAAUUGAGAUUCCGCCAGUAGUGGCGAGCGAACGCGGAAUAGGCCAAACCAAGAGUAGUAAUACUCUUGGGGUUCGGACAGCAAACGAUAUGCAUAUAUCUAACAGAAUGGUAUGGGAAGACCAACGAAACAGUGUGAGAGUCACGUAUGUGAAAGAUAGAAGCAGUCAGCUGUAUCCAGAGUACCGCCGGACACGAGAAACCCGACGGGAAUACGGGGGGACCACCCUCCAAGCCUAAAUACUACCCAGUGACCGAUAGUGAAGAGUACUGUGAAGGAAAGGUGAAAAGGACCCCGGAAGGGGAGUGAAAAAGAACCUGAAACCUUGUGCUUACAAGCACCGAGAGCCCGUCAAUGGGUGAUCGGGUACCUUUUGUAGAAUGGUCCGGCGAGUGAAUGUAGUUGGCGAGGUUAAGUCCUUAAGGGAUGGAGCCGCAGGGAAACCAAGUCUGAAUAGGGCGCAUGAAGUCAGUUAUAUUCGACCCGAAACCGGGUGACCUACCCAUGUCCAGGUUGAAGUGGAGGUAAAACUCCAUGGAGGACCGAACCGACUCCCGUUGAAAUGGUAGCGGAUGAGGUGUGGGUAGCGGAGAAAUUCCAAUCGAACCCGGAGAUAGCUGGUUCUCUCCGAAAUAGCUUUAGGGCUAGCCUUGUAUUAGAUUACCGGAGGUAAAGCACUGAAUGGUCUAGGGACCGAAAGGUUACUGAAACCUAUCAAACUAAGAAUGCCGGAUAAUUGAUGUACAGGAGUCAGACAGCGUGAGAUAAGUUUCGUUGUCGAAAGGGAAACAGCCCAGACCCACAGCUAAGGUCCCAAAAUAUGAUUAAGUGGAAAAGGAUGUGGGGUUGCACAGACAACCAGGAUGUUGGCUUAGAAGCAGCCAUACAUUGAAAGAGUGCGUAAUAGCUCACUGGUCGAGUGACCCUGCGCCGAAGAUUUAACGGGGCUAAAUCAUAUACCGAAGCUUGGGAUUCCGUAAGGGAUGGUAGGAGAGCGUUGAAUAAGGGGUGAAGUCAGAGCGAAAGCGCUGGUGGACAUUAUUCAAGUGAGAAUGCCGGAAUGAGUAGCGAGAAAUAUGUGAGAAUCAUAUUGGCCGAAAGUCUAAGGUUUUUGGAGGAAGGUUCGUCCGCUCCAAGUAAGUCGGGAGCUAAGGUGAGGCUGAGAAGCGUAGCCGAUGCACAUACGGUUGAAAUUCCGUAACCGCCGAAAGAUUUAAGUAAGAGGACACCUGAAAAGUGCAUAACCCGGGCGAUGGUAGCCCCGGGCGUAAGGGACCGAAAUUAAAGUAGGGAAGUAUGCAUGGAUUGGGGCAAGAAAAGUCUUAUGAAUAUCUAAGGCGCCCGUACCGCAAACCGACACAGGUAGAUAGGAAGAGAAUUCUAAGGCCAACGGGAGAAGGGUAGUUAAGGAACUCGGCAAAUUGACCCCGUAACUUAGGGAAAAGGGGUGCCACAGAAAUGUGGCCGCAGUGAAUAGGCCCAGGCGACUGUUUAGCAAAAACACAGGUCUCUGCCAAAUCGUAAGAUGAAGUAUAGGGGCUGACACCUGCCCGGUGCUGGAAGGUUAAGAGGAAAAGUGCAAGCUUUGAAUUGAAGCCCCAGUAAACGGCGGCCGUAACUAUAACGGUCCUAAGGUAGCGAAAUUCCUUGUCGGGUAAGUUCCGACCCGCACGAAUGGUGUAACGAUCUGAGCACUGUCUCAAUUACCCGCCCGGCGAAAUUGUAGUACCGGUGAAGAUGCCGGUUACCCGCGACAAGACGGAAAGACCCCAUGGAGCUUUACUGCAGUUUAAUAUUGGGUUUCGGUAAUUUAUGUACAGGAUAAGUGGGAGACUUGGAAACCAUGGCGCCAGCCGUGGUGGAGUCAAUGUUGGGAUACCACUCUUAAGUUGCUGAAAUUCUAACCUGCGGCCGUAAACCGGUCGGGGGACAUUGUUAGACGGGCAGUUUGACUGGGGCGGUCGCCUCCAAAAGAGUAACGGAGGCGCUCAAAGGUCAGCUCAGUACGGACGGAAACCGUGCAAUAGAGUGUAAACGCGUAAGCUGGCCUAACUGCGAGGGUGACGGCCCGAGCAGUAACGAAAGUUGGAGUUAGUGAUCCGGCGGUAUGAGAGUGGAAUUGCCGUCGCUCAACGGAUAAAAGCUACCCUGGGGAUAACAGGCUGAUCUCCCCCAAGAGUCCACAU
rnacentral:rRNA from 1 species